ensembl:lncRNA
AUAUGGGAUGUUUGGGGUUCCCCCACUGGCGGAGGUUAUGGGGCAGGGGUGGGAGGUUAUGGGGCGGAGAUGGGAGCUUAUAGGGUUCCCCCCCAAUGGCGGUUAUGGGGCAGGGAUGGGAGAUUUGGGGUUCCCCCACUGGUGGUGGUUAUGGGGAAGGAAUGGGAGCAUAUGGGGUUUCCCCCCCAGCAGUGGUUAUGGGGUGGAUAUGGGGUGGUUAUGGGGCAGGGAUGGGAGGUUAUGGGGCCAUUAUGGGUCCCAUCCCCCAGCAGCAGUUAUGGGAUGGUUAUGGGGUGGUUAUGGGGUUCCCCCCCCGAGGCAGUUAUGGGGCCAUCAUGAGUCCCAUCCCCCAACAGCACUUAUGGGGUGGAUAUGGGGUGGUUAUGGGGUGGUUAUGGGGUUCCCCUCCCAGCAACCGUUAUGGGGUGAUUAUGGGAUGUUUCAGAUUCCCGCCCCCCUCCCCCUGCUGGCGGUUAUGGGGCAGGGAUGGGAGAUUUGGGGUCCCCCCGAUGGCGGUUAUGGGGCAGAUAUGGGAGGUUAUGGGGUUGCCCCCCCCAGCGGCGGUUAUGGGGCAGAUAUGGGAAGUUUGGGGUCCCCCUGCUGGCGGUUAUGGGGCAGGAAUGGGAGGUUAUGGGGCUGCCCCCCCUGCUGUCGGUUAUGGGGCAGAUAUGGGAGGUUAUGGGGUUGCCCCCCCCAGUCGCGGUUAUGGGGCAGAUAUGGGAAUUUUGGGGUCCCCCUGAUUGCGGUUAUGGGGCAGAUAUGGGAGGUUAUGGGGUUGCCCCCCCCCAGUCGCGGUUAUGGGGCAGAUAUGGGAAGUUUGGGGUCCCCCUGCUGGCGGUUAUGGGGCAGAUAUGGGAGGUUAUGGGGUUUCCCCCCCCUGCUGGCAGAUAUGGGGCAGAUAUGGGAAGUUUGGGGUCCCCCUGAUGGUGGUUAUGGGGCAGAUAUGGGAGGUUAUGGGGCUGCCCCCCCAGCGGUGGUUAUGGGGUAGGGAUGGGCGUUUGGGGUUCCCCUCCCCAGUGGCCCCUAUGGGGCAGCUAUGGGGCCACACUGGUACCGCUAUGGGGCCACUAUGGGGCGGCUGUGGGCAGUUAUGGGGCAGCUACGGGGACACUGUGGGGCAGCUAUGGGGUAGCUAUGGGGCGGCUAUGGGGCAGCUAUGGGGUGGGUAUGGGGCAGCUAUGGUGCUGCUAUGGGGCAACUAUAGUGCUGCUAUAGGGCAGCUAUGGGGCAGCUAUGAGCAGUUAUGGGGCAGCUAUGGGGGAGCUACAGAGCCACAAUGGUGCUGCUAUAGGGCAGCUAUGGGGUGGCUAUGGGGCUGCUAUGGGGCCGCAAUGGGGCCACCUUGGUGCUGCUAUAGGGCAGCUAUGGGGCCAGAACGAUGCCGCUAUAGGGCCGCAAUGGUGCCGCUAUGGGGCUGCUAUGGGGCCACAUUGGUGCUGCUAUGGGGCCGCUAUGGGGCGGCUAUGAAACCACAAUGGUGCUGCUAUGGGGCCACAUUAUUGCUGCUAUGGGGCCACAUUGGUGCUGCUAUGGGGCCGCUAUGGGGCUGCUGUGGGGCCAUAUUGGCGCUGCUAUGGGGUGGCUAUGGGGCUGCUAUGGGGCCACAAUGGUGCUGCUAUGGGGCAGCUAUGGGGCCAGAAGGACGGCGCUAUGGGGCAGCUAUGGGGCCAGAAGGAUGACGCUAUGGGUCCGCU